rnacentral:rRNA from 1 species
GACGAACGCUGGCGGCGUGCUUAACACAUGCAAGUCGAACGGUAAGGCCCUUCGGGGUACACGAGUGGCGAACGGGUGAGUAACACGUGGGUGAUCUGCCCUGCACUUCGGGAUAAGCCUGGGAAACUGGGUCUAAUACCGGAUAGGACCUCUGACUGCAUGGGUGGUGGGGGAAAGCUCUGGUGGUGUGGGAUGGGCCCGCGGCCGAUCAGAUUGUUGGUGGGGGGAUGGCCUACCAAGGCGACGGCGGGUAGCCGGCCUGAGAGGGUGACCGGCCACACUGGGACUGAGAUACGGCCCGGACUCCUACGGGAGGCAGCAGUGGGGAAUAUUGCACAAUGGGCGCAAGCCUGAUGCAGCGACGCCGCGUGAGGGAUGACGGCCUUCGGGUUGUAAACCUCUUUCAGCACCGACGAAGCGCAAGUGACGGUAGGUGCAGAAGAAGGACCGGCCAACUACGUGCCAGCCGCCGCCGUAA